UACAGAGGGGGCAAGCGUUAUUCGGAAUCAUUGGGCGUAAAGCGCGUGUAGGCGGUUCGGUAAGUCCGCUGUGAAAGUCGGGGGCUCAACCCUCGGAUGCCGGUGGAUACUGUCGGACUAGAGUACGGAAGAGGCGAGUGGAAUUCCUGGUGUAGCGGUGAAAUGCGCAGAUAUCAGGAGGAACACCAAUUGCGAAGGCAGCUCGCUGGGACGUUACUGACGCUGAGACGCGAAAGCGUGGGGAGCAAACAGG
rnacentral:rRNA from 1 species